rnacentral:rRNA from 1 species
CAAUAGCGUAUAUUAAAGUUGUUGCGGUUAAAAAGCUCGUAGUUGGAUUUCUGCUGAGGAUGACCGGUCCGCCCUCCGGGUGAGUAUCUGGCUCAGCCUUGGCAUCUUCCUGAAGAACGUAACUGCACUUGACUGUGUGGUGCGGUAUUUAGGACAUUUACUUUGAGGAAAUUAGAGUGUUUCAAGCAAGCGCACGCCUUGAAUACAUUAGCAUGGAAUAAUAAGAUAGGACCUCGGUUCUAUUUUGUUGGUUUCUAGAGCUGAGGUAAUGAUUGAUAGGGAUAGUUGGGGGCAUUCGUAUUUAACUGUCAGAGGUGAAAUUCUUGGAUUUGUUAAAGACGGACUACUGCGAAAACAUUUGCCAAGGAUGUUUUCAUUGA